rnacentral:rRNA from 1 species
CCUACGGGAGGCAGCAGUGGGGAAUUUUGGACAAUGGGCGCAAGCCUGAUCCAGCAAUGCCGCGUGAGUGAAGAAGGCCUUCGGGUUGUAAAGCUCUUUUGUCAGGGAAGAAACGGUGGGGGCUAAUAUCCUCCACUAAUGACGGUACCUGAAGAAUAAGCACCGGCUAACUACGUGCCAGCAGCCGCGGUAAUACGUAGGGUGCAAGCGUUAAUCGGAAUUACUGGGCGUAAAGCGUGCGCAGGCGGUUUUGUAAGUCUGUCGUGAAAGCCCCGGGCUCAACCUGGGAAUUGCGAUGGAGACUGCAAGGCUUGAAUCUGGCAGAGGGGGGUAGAAUUCCACGUGUAGCAGUGAAAUGCGUAGAGAUGUGGAGGAACACCGAUGGCGAAGGCAGCCCCCUGGGUCAAGAUUGACGCUCAUGCACGAAAGCGUGGGGAGCAAACAGGAUUAGAUACCCUGGUAGUCCACGCCCUAAACGAUGUCUACUAGUUGUCGGGUUUUAAUUAACUUGGUAACGCAGCUAACGCGUGAAGUAGCCGCCUGGGGAGGACGGUCGCGAAGUAGUAAACUUACGAAGUAAGUUAGAGNGNGNGNGNGCGAGACGACGACGAGGGAGAGG